GGCGCAGUGGCCCAGCGGCAAGGCGUCGGUCUCCUAAACCGAAGAUCAUGGGUUUGACCCCCAUCUGUGCCU